CACCACGCCCUGAAUCGAUCCGGCUCCAGACAGCAUGGCCACGGCUGCACCCAGAUCUGUUAAACACACACACGCACACACACACAUCAAGCAUCAGAUUUUUUUUUUUUCCCUCCUCUGUGGUUCUCACCUUGCUUUGAUCCACCGAUCCCCUUCAGCACGGCCCGGCGCCCCGUCCUCUCAAUGAGAGACUGAACCUCUGUGCUGAUCUUCUGGGGCCUGGCUUGCCUUCUUGAUUUCAUCGAUGGAAUAAUAUAUGUUCUACUGAAAGGAGAAUAGAUAAACUUCAUGAUUCUAUUCAAAGAGAAUGUUUUAUGUAAAAAGGGAAGAAAGACAUCACUGGUGGAAGAAUGAAGAAAAUGUCAUCAGAUAUGUCUCCAGGGAUACACAAAUAAAGAUACAGAUCAAUCUAAUCCUCUAA